rnacentral:siRNA from 1 species
CUUCAACAUAGUUCCGCCCUUGCC